GUUGCUUAAGUUUAGCGCAAACGUUGUUGAUUGAGGCGGCGUCUGCACGGCGGAGGAGGUCACCGGCGGUGAGAGAAAUGAGGAAGAUGAGAGAGAAGAAGGUGGCCAUGAUGUUAUAGUUUCUUAAUUAUUCUAAUUGGUUGUUUUUUCUUUGGAAUCGGUUUCGUUUUUUUCUUUUUAUUUGAUUGGAUAUUAUGUAAAAAAAAAUGAAAAAUUAAUUAGAGCUAGUUACUCAGAUUGUGAGAAUGCAGAUAGUAUAAUUGGGUUUAUUUGUUUGAUUGGUUGUUUUUUAUUAUUCAGAGGAGAUCGAGGCGUGAGAAAAACAUUUGCAAGUGAAAUUGUGAUAUUUCUGUUUUACCUGUUUAAUUGUUUGUGCUUUAUGUUUCGAAUUUAUGUGGUUA
rnacentral:lncRNA from 1 species